GCUGACUUCUGCAGUGGCCCAGCCUCUGAGGACCAAAGCCACCAAACCAGUGGGAGGAGGAUGCUUCGAACCCGAGAACCAGGAGAAGCAUGUCAAGAAGGGUGAUGGUCAAUAGUGUCAAAUGACCCGGAGCUUGAAGAAUAUGGAAAGUGAAUGGACAAAUGCACUUUAGACAUGUCUUCGUCAACCACCAGCGGCGCGCGGGGUGGGAGUGCUUGUCACACCUAAGCACCCCAGGAGCCUCUUCAAACUCUCACCACCCCAGCAGCUGAUUCGGGAGCUCGGGAGCUGAGACCCGGGCACGCGCGUUUUCAGAACACUUCAUACAGGAGGUUCUGAAAUGCAUCAUACCCCACACAGUUGAGAAUCACUGAGGUACGUAGGACUGAGUCCUGGAAUUUGCUAUGGUGUGGGAGAAGAUGGCAUGGAAUCGU